CACGGACAUCCGGGCCUCUGAAGCUCAGGAACACAUGGUAAUACCUUUUCAGAUUUGAAGAAGAAGAAGAAGAAGAAGCCAUCGAAAGAGCUAAUGGUUGAUGUGCUUCCGCAGAAUGCGCAUGUGAGUUCUCCUCGAUCGGAGACAACUUAAAACUGUUGCCGAAACUUGAGAAUUAACACGGACAUGGUCAGACACUUCACUGCAAAAACUAUGUAA